rnacentral:rRNA from 1 species
CCGUGAAUUCACUAGUGAUUAGAGUUUGAUCGUGGCUCAGGACGAACGCUGGCGGCGUGUUUAACACAUGCAAGUCAGGGGAGUCCUCAAGGGCAACCGACGAACGGGUGUGUAACACAUGAGCGACCCGCCUGACUGAGGGGGAUAGCCGGCCCAACGGCCGGGUAAUACUGCUUACGCUAAUCUAGAGGCAUCUCUUGGUGAGGAAACCUCCGGGGCACUCAGAGGGGCUCGCGGCCUAUCAGCUAGUUGGCGGGGUAAUGGCCCACCAAGGCGAUGACGGGUAGCUGGUCUGAGAGGAUGGCCAGCCACAUUGGGACUGAGAGACGGCCCAGACUCCUACGGGAGGCAGCAGUGGGGAAUCUUGCGCAAUGGCCGAAAGGCUGACGCAGCGACGCCGCGUGUGGGAGGAAGCUCUUCGGGGUGUAAACCACUGUUGCCCGGGACGAACGAGCAGCUUUUGCUGCUGUGACGGUACCGGGUGAGGAAGCACCGGCUAACUCUGUGCCAGCAGCCGCGGUAAUACAGAGGGUGCGAGCGUUGUCCGGAAUCACUGGGCGUAAAGGGCGCGUAGGCGGCUCGGUAAGGUUGCGGUGAAAGCCCGGGGCUCAACCCCGGGUCGGCCGUGGCAACUGCUGGGCUGGAUCACCUCCUUA